rnacentral:rRNA from 1 species
GACGAACGCUGGCGGCGUGCUUAACACAUGCAAGUCGAACGGUGAAGGGGUCUGCUUUUGUGGGCCCUGGAUGAGUGGCGAACGGGUGAGUAACACGUGAGUAACCUGCCCCCUUCUUCUGGAUAACCGCAUGAAAGUGUGGCUAAUACGGUAUAUUCUGGGUCUGUCGCAUGAUGGGUCUGGGAAAGAUUGCGCCUUUGGGUUUUUUUGGUGGGGGAUGGGCUCGCGGCCUAUCAGCUUGUUGGUGGGGUGAUGGCCUACCAAGGAGGUGACGGGUAGCCGGGCUGAGAGGGUGGACGGUCACACUGGGACUGAGACACGGCCCAGAAUCCUACGGGAGGCAGCAGUGGGGAAUAUUGCACAAUGGGCGCAAGCCUGAUGCAGCGACGCCGCGUGAGGGAUGGAGGCCUUCGGGUUGUAAACCUCUUUCGCCAGUGAAGCAGGCCUGCUCCUUGUGGGUGGGUUGACGGUAGCUGGAGAAGAAGCGCCGGCUAACUACGUG